rnacentral:rRNA from 1 species
AACGGGUGAGUAACAAGUAGGUGAUCUGCCCAUUAGCGGGGGAUAACUAGUCGAAAGGCUGGCUAAUACCGCAUAAUCGUUCCGGAAUAGAGACCGGAACGGAAAGGCGCAAAUGCGUCGCUGAUGGAUGAGCCUGCUUCCCAUUAGCUAGUUGGUGGGGUAAGAGCCUACCAAGGCAAUGAUGGGUAGCCGUACUGAGAGGUAGAUCGGCCACACCGGGACUGAGAUACGGCCCGGACUCCUACGGGAGGCAGCAGUCUGGAAUCUUCCGCAAUGGGGGCAACCCUGACGGAGCGACGCCGCGUGAGGGAUGGAGUCUUUCGGGAUGUAAACCUCUUUUGACAAAGAAGAAUAGAGCGUGCAGUGGAAAGGCGCGCAGAUGACGGUACUUGUCGAAUAAGCCCUGGCUAACUCCGUGCCAGCAGCCGCGGUAAUACGGAGAGGGCAAGCGUUACUCGGAAUUACUGGGCGUAAAGGGUGCGUAGGCGGCUGUGCAAGUAUGGUGUGAAAUCUCCACGGCUCAACCGGGAGGUUGCAUUGUAGACUGCAUGGCUGGAGGCUGAGAGAGGAUGUCGGAAUUCCUGGUG